rfam:Folsomia candida strain VT population Fcan01_Sc005, whole genome shotgun sequence.
CAAUCCAUUUCUGGAUUUUGGAAAAAAAAUCCAAUCCAUCCAAAUCCAUUUCUGGAUUUUGGAAAAAAAUCCAAUCCAUCCAAAUCCAUUUCUGGAUUUUUGAAAAAAAUCCA